rnacentral:rRNA from 1 species
UGGGGAAUAUUGCACAAUGGGCGCAAGCCUGAUGCAGCCAUGCCGCGUGUAUGAAGAAGGCCUUCGGGUUGUAAAGUACUUUCAGUCGGGAGGAAGGUGGUAAGGUUAAUAACCUUAUCAAUUGACGUUACCGACAGAAGAAGCACCGGCUAACUCCGUGCCAGCAGCCGCGGUAAUACGGAGGGUGCAAGCGUUAAUCGGAAUUACUGGGCGUAAAGCGCACGCAGGCGGUUGGUUGAGUCAGAUGUGAAAUCCCCGGGCUUAACCCGGGAAUUGCAUCUGAUACUGGUCAGCUAGAGUCUUGUAGAGGGGGGUAGAAUUCCAUGUGUAGCGGUGAAAUGCGUAGAGAUGUGGAGGAAUACCGGUGGCGAAGGCGGCCCCCUGGACAAAGACUGACGCUCAGGUGCGAAAGCGUGGGGAGCAAACAGG